rnacentral:rRNA from 1 species
GGUUAAGCGACUAAGCGUACACGGUGGAUGCCCUGGCAGUCAGAGGCGAUGAAGGACGUGCUAAUCUGCGAUAAGCGUCGGUAAGGUGAUAUGAACCGUUAUAACCGGCGAUUUCCGAAUGGGGAAACCCAGUGUGAUUCGUCACACUAUCAUUAACUGAAUCCAUAGGUUAAUGAGGCGAACCGGGGAACUGAAACAUCUAAGUACCCCGAGGAAAAGAAAUCAACCGAGAUUCCCCCAGUAGCGGCGAGCGAACGGGGAGCAGCCCAGAGCCUGAAUCAGUGUGUGUGUUAGUGGAAGCGUCUGGAAAGGCGUGCGAUACAGGGUGACAGCCCCGUACACAAAAAUGCACAUACUGUGAGCUCGAUGAGUAGGGCGGGACACGUGGUAUCCUGUCUGAAUAUGGGGGGACCAUCCUCCAAGGCUAAAUACUCCUGACUGACCGAUAGUGAACCAGUACCGUGAGGGAAAGGCGAAAAGAACCCCGGCGAGGGGAGUGAAAAAGAACCUGAAACCGUGUACGUACAAGCAGUGGGAGCACGCUUAGGCGUGUGACUGCGUACCUUUUGUAUAAUGGGUCAGCGACUUAUAUUCUGUAGCAAGGUUAACCGAAUAGGGGAGCCGAAGGGAAACCGAGUCUUAACUGGGCGUUAAGUUGCAGGGUAUAGACCCGAAACCCGGUGAUCUAGCCAUGGGCAGGUUGAAGGUUGGGUAACACUAACUGGAGGACCGAACCGACUAAUGUUGAAAAAUUAGCGGAUGACUUGUGGCUGGGGGUGAAAGGCCAAUCAAACCGGGAGAUAGCUGGUUCUCCCCGAAAGCUAUUUAGGUAGCGCCUCGUGAAUUCAUCUCCGGGGGUAGAGCACUGUUUCGGCAAGGGGGUCAUCCCGACUUACCAACCCGAUGCAAACUGCGAAUACCGGAGAAUGUUAUCACGGGAGACACACGGCGGGUGCUAACGUCCGUCGUGAAGAGGGAAACAACCCAGACCGCCAGCUAAGGUCCCAAAGUCAUGGUUAAGUGGGAAACGAUGUGGGAAGGCCCAGACAGCCAGGAUGUUGGCUUAGAAGCAGCCAUCAUUUAAAGAAAGCGUAAUAGCUCACUGGUCGAGUCGGCCUGCGCGGAAGAUGUAACGGGGCUAAACCAUGCACCGAAGCUGCGGCAGCGACGCUUAUGCGUUGUUGGGUAGGGGAGCGUUCUGUAAGCCUGUGAAGGUGUGCUGUGAGGUAUGCUGGAGGUAUCAGAAGUGCGAAUGCUGACAUAAGUAACGAUAAAGCGGGUGAAAAGCCCGCUCGCCGGAAGACCAAGGGUUCCUGUCCAACGUUAAUCGGGGCAGGGUGAGUCGACCCCUAAGGCGAGGCCGAAAGGCGUAGUCGAUGGGAAACAGGUUAAUAUUCCUGUACUUGGUGUUACUGCGAAGGGGGACGGAGAAGGCUAUGUUGGCCGGGCGACGGUUGUCCCGGUUUAAGCGUGUAGGCUGGUUUUCCAGGCAAAUCCGGAAAAUCAAGGCCGAGGCGUGAUGACGAGGCACUACGGUGCUGAAGCAACAAAUGCCCUGCUUCCAGGAAAAGCCUCUAAGCAUCAGGUAACAUCAAAUCGUACCCCAAACCGACACAGGUGGUCAGGUAGAGAAUACCAAGGCGCUUGAGAGAACUCGGGUGAAGGAACUAGGCAAAAUGGUGCCGUAACUUCGGGAGAAGGCACGCUGAUACGUAGGUGAAGCGACUUGCUCGUGGAGCUGAAAUCAGUCGAAGAUACCAGCUGGCUGCAACUGUUUAUUAAAAACACAGCACUGUGCAAACACGAAAGUGGACGUAUACGGUGUGACGCCUGCCCGGUGCCGGAAGGUUAAUUGAUGGGGUUAGCGCAAGCGAAGCUCUUGAUCGAAGCCCCGGUAAACGGCGGCCGUAACUAUAACGGUCCUAAGGUAGCGAAAUUCCUUGUCGGGUAAGUUCCGACCUGCACGAAUGGCGUAAUGAUGGCCAGGCUGUCUCCACCCGAGACUCAGUGAAAUUGAACUCGCUGUGAAGAUGCAGUGUACCCGCGGCAAGACGGAAAGACCCCGUGAACCUUUACUAUAGCUUGACACUGAACAUUGAGCCUUGAUGUGUAGGAUAGGUGGGAGGCUUUGAAGUGUGGACGCCAGUCUGCAUGGAGCCGACCUUGAAAUACCACCCUUUAAUGUUUGAUGUUCUAACGUGGACCCGUGAUCCGGGUUGCGGACAGUGUCUGGUGGGUAGUUUGACUGGGGCGGUCUCCUCCUAAAGAGUAACGGAGGAGCACGAAGGUUGGCUAAUCCUGGUCGGACAUCAGGAGGUUAGUGCAAUGGCAUAAGCCAGCUUGACUGCGAGCGUGACGGCGCGAGCAGGUGCGAAAGCAGGUCAUAGUGAUCCGGUGGUUCUGAAUGGAAGGGCCAUCGCUCAACGGAUAAAAGGUACUCCGGGGAUAACAGGCUGAUACCGCCCAAGAGUUCAUAUCGACGGCGGUGUUUGGCACCUCGAUGUCGGCUCAUCACAUCCUGGGGCUGAAGUAGGUCCCAAGGGUAUGGCUGUUCGCCAUUUAAAGUGGUACGCGAGCUGGGUUUAGAACGUCGUGAGACAGUUCGGUCCCUAUCUGCCGUGGGCGCUGGAGAACUGAGGGGGGCUGCUCCUAGUACGAGAGGACCGGAGUGGACGCAUCACUGGUGUUCGGGUUGUCAUGCCAAUGGCACUGCCCGGUAGCUAAAUGCGGAAGAGAUAAGUGCUGAAAGCAUCUAAGCACGAAACUUGCCCCGAGAUGAGUUCUCCCUGACCCUUUAAGGGUCCUGAAGGAACGUUGAAGACGACGACGUUGAUAGGCCGGGUGUGUAAGCGCAGCGAUGCGUUGAGCUAACCGGUACUAAUGAACCGUGAGGCUUAACCUU